UCUCCGUUGGUGAACCAGCGGAGGGAUCAUUACUGGAAUCGCAAGAUCCCAAAACCCCUGUGAACCUACCGACACGUUGCCUCGGCGGGUGCCCCGCCCCGCGCCGGGCGCUGAGCCCGCCGGCGGCCCCCUACUCUUGUCUCUGCAGCGUGGCAUCUCACAGUGCCAGAAAACAAGUAAAAACUUUCAACAACGGAUCUCUUGGCUCUA
rnacentral:misc_RNA from 1 species